rnacentral:rRNA from 1 species
AACGAACGCUGGCGGCAGGCCUCAAACAUGCAAGUCUAGGGGGUGCAGCAAUGCAUCACCGGCGGACGGGUGCGUAACGCGUGGGAAUAUACCUUUUGGUUCGGAACAACUGCGGGAAACUGCAGCUAAUACCGAAUGUGCCCUAACGGGGAAAGAUUUAUCGCCAAAGGAUUAGCCCGCGUAGGAUUAGCUAGUUGGUGAGGUAAUGGCUCACCAAGGCUCCGAUCCUUAGCNGUUCUGAGAGGAAGAUCAGCCACACUGGGACUGAGACACGGCCCAGACUCCUACGGGAGGCAGCAGUUGGGAAUCUUGGACAAUGGGGGAAACCCUGAUCCAGCCAUGCCGCGUGAGUGAUG